rnacentral:rRNA from 1 species
AGUGAACGCUGGCGGUAGGCCUAACACAUGCAAGUCGAACGGCAGCACAGUAAGAGCUUGCUCUUACGGGUGGCGAGUGGCGGACGGGUGAGGAAUACAUCGGAAUCUACUUUUUCUUGGGGGAUAACGUAGGGAAACUUACGCUAAUACCGCAUACGACCUACGGGUGAAAGCAGGGGAUCUUCGGACCUUGCGCGAUUGAAUUAGCCGAUGUCGGAUUAGCUAGUUGGCGGGGUAAAGGCCCACCAAGGCGACGAUCCGUAGCUGGUCUGAGAGGAUGAUCAGCCACACUGGAACUGAGACACGGUCCAGACUCCUACGGGAGGCAGCAGUGGGGAAUAUUGGACAAUGGGCGCAAGCCUGAUCCAGCCAUACCGCGUGGGUGAAGAAGGCCUUCGGGUUGUAAAGCCCUUUUGUUGGGAAAGAAAAGAAGCAGGUUAAUACCCCGCUGUUCUGACGGUACCCAAAGAAUAAGCACCGGCUAACUUCGUG